AUAACAAUACAGGACUCUUUAGAGGCCCUGUAAUUGUAAUGAGUCCAUUUGAAAUCCUUUAACUAUGAUCAAUUGGAGGGCAAGUCUGGUGCAGAGUGACUGACCCGUGCGUGCUGCAGCUGAAA